GAGGCUAUAGCUUAAUUAAAGUGUUUGAGUUGCAUUCAGAAGAUGUGUAUUAGAGUUUCACUGGUCUU
rnacentral:tRNA from 1 species